rnacentral:rRNA from 1 species
CGCCCAACAGCUAGCCCAACCACCAAAAACAACAUCCCCCUAUCAAUAACCCCCCAAGCACUAAACAAAGUAAAACAAACCAUUUUCCACCCGAGUAUGGGCGACAGAAAAG